ACGCACGCUGGCGGCGUGCUUAACACAUGCAAGUCGAACGAAGCUUGCUUACGGAUUCUUCGGAUGAAGUAUGAUAUGACUGAGUGGCGGACGGGUGAGUAACGCGUGAGUAACCUGCCCUUCAGAGGGGGAUAGCGUUUGGAAACGAACGGUAAUACCGCAUAAUGUAUUUUGACCGCAUGAUCGAAAUACCAAAGAUUUAUCGCUGAAGGAUGGACUCGCGUCUGAUUAGGUAGUUGGUGGGGUAACGGCCUACCAAGCCGACGAUCAGUAGCCGGACUGAGAGGUUGAUCGGCCACAUUGGGACUGAGACACGGCCCAGACUCCUACGGGAGGCAGCAGUGGGGAAUAUUGCACAAUGGGCGCAAGCCUGAUGCAGCAACGCCGCGUGAAGGAAGACGGUUUUCGGAUUGUAAACUUCUGUUCUUAGUGAAGAAUAAUGACGGUAGCUAAGGAGCAAGCCACGGCUAACUACGUG
rnacentral:rRNA from 1 species